rnacentral:rRNA from 1 species
UGGGGAAUAUUGGACAAUGGGCGAAAGCCUGAUCCAGCCAUGCCGCGUGUGUGAAGAAGGUCUUCGGAUUGUAAAGCACUUUAAGUUGGGAGGCGUUACCGACAGAAUAAGCACCGGCUAACUCUGUGCCAGCAGCCGCGGUAAUACAGAGGGUGCAAGCGUUAAUCGGAAUUACUGGGCGUAAAGCGCGCGUAGGUGGUUUGUUAAGUUGGAUGUGAAAGCCCCGGGCUCAACCUGGGAACUGCAUCCAAAACUGGCAAGCUAGAGUACGGUAGAGGGUGGUGGAAUUUCCUGUGUAGCGGUGAAAUGCGUAGAUAUAGGAAGGAACACCAGUGGCGAAGGCGACCACCUGGACUGAUACUGACACUGAGGUGCGAAAGCGUGGGGAGCAAACAGGAUUAGAUACCCUUGUAGU